rnacentral:rRNA from 1 species
AAAAUUAAAGGUCUAAUCUGCCCAAUGAUAUUUGAAUGGCCGCGGUAAUUUGACCGUGCAAAGGUAGCAUAAUAAUUAGUCUUUUAAUUGAAGGCUUGAAUGAAAGAUUGGAUGAAAAAUAAACUUUAUUAGUAUAAAUUAUUUAACUUAUCAUUUAAGUAAAAAUUCUUAAAUACAUAAGUGGGACGAGAAGACCCUAUAGAGUUUUAUUUUCAUUUAUAUUAUUAAAUUAAAGAAUUAGUAUUUUUAUAAUAUAAAUGAAUUUUUUAUUGGGGUGAUAUUAAAAAUUAAGAAACUUUUAAUUAAUAUUUCAUUAAUAUAUGUAUUUUGAUCCAAAAAGAUUUUGAUUAUAAGAUUAAAUUACCUUAGGGAUAACAGCGUUAUUAAUUUGAAGAGUUCUAAUCGAUAAAUUAGUUUGCGACCUCGAUGUUGGAUUAAGAAUAAAUUUUGAAGUAGCAUUUAAAAUUAUGGGUCUGUUCGACCCUUAAAUUCUUACG